rnacentral:rRNA from 1 species
UACGAAGGGGGCUAGCGUUGUUCGGAUUUACUGGGCGUAAAGCGCACGUGGGCGGUUUGUUAAGUCAGGGGUGAAAUCCCGGAGCUCAACUCCGGAACUGCCUUUGAUACUGGCAAGCUAGAGUCCGGAAGAGGUAAGUGGAACUCCUAGUGUAGAGGUGGAAUUCGUAGAUAUUAGGAAGAACACCAGUGGCGAAGGCGGCUUACUGGUCCGGAACUGACGCUGAGGUGCGAAAGCGUGGGGAGCAAACAGG